CCACUUCUCCCAUCUGAUGACUGUUGCCAGACUAUCGUGCAUGCUGAUCUUGUCUGUGCAUGCUCGAAGGUUACUCCUGAUACCGAGAACAAUAUUAGUGUGCCUCUGGCAAUCAUGGUGGCUAGCUUCUGUGGUCAUCCUCUCCCUCAUGGAACUCACUGUGGAAGUGUUGUGGUUCCAUAAGCACUAUGGGAGAACGCGUGUUGAAUAAGAUGAUCAUGAUGGAUUCUAUGUAGAGAGAGAGAGAGUAACGCCCCGCCCCGGAAUCCCGGAGUCGGGGCUGUUUGUUUGC